CCUGAGAAACCCAAAAGAUCGAAUGGGGAGAUUCAUCGUCAGCGGUUCUGGCUUCCGUGCGGUACGCGAUGGCGGGACCUCGGUCUCGCGUCACGCUGCCGCUGCGGCAUGCCCGGAAUCGUCGGCGUGCACUUCUCCCCUAGUAGGACGUCGCGACCCGUUGGGUGUCGGAUCGAUGGCCGGUCGGUCGCCUGUCUCGCGUUCGCGCGUUUCAGACCGAUCCGGUCGAAAGUCCGGCUGCCCGGCGGUAUUGAACGAUAUGACAAGGUAUCGGGCCGCACUCGAAUGCGUUCAGGCUCGUCGGCAGGCUCGCCUCGCUCGGAUUUACGGACCUAGCGCCGUUGCCGGGUGCUUGGCGCGGCCGUUAGUCGACGAUGUCCUCGGACUGGCUCUUACCCGUCGGCGACGCUACUGCUUUGGGUACUUUC
rnacentral:rRNA from 1 species